rnacentral:lncRNA from 1 species
UUCCUGGUUUGUCUGAACCACGCCCGUGAGCACCGAGCAGGAUGAGGGGCUGGAAGGACAGCUCAGUGGUUAGCGCCAGCUCCGCUUCCUGAAUGUAUGGCCCGGUGUCCAUGUGACCCCACGUUCCAGUGACUCAGUGAGGGCGACGCUGACGUUGUCUUCUCUUCCCCGCUGCGACUGAGCGACAACAUCAGGUUUUGCUUUUCCAUGAGGACGAGAAUUCUCCCCUAUAGGUCGCACUUUGACGGCUAUACUUACCCAUAUAGGACAGUGGAGCCGGACCCCAGCUCACAGCACAUAUGGAAAUUAGCUACCAACGAGCCCGGGGCGUAAACAUGCAAGACGAGGGCGCAAACGCUUGGGAGAAGAGUGGGUCCUUGUGAUGUUGGCGAAUCAGAAUGCAAUGCACCGGAAAUGGGUGAAGAAAUUAGAAAAUUAAUUUUUAAUUUAAAA